rnacentral:rRNA from 1 species
AGUGAACGCUGGCGGUAGGCCUAACACAUGCAAGUCGAACGGCAGCACAGUAAGAGCUUGCUCUUACGGGUGGCGAGUGGCGGACGGGUGAGGAAUACAUCGGAAUCUACUUUUUCGUGGGGGAUAACGUAGGGAAACUUACGCUAAUACCGCAUACGACCUACGGGUGAAAGCAGGGGAUCUUCGGACCUUGCGCGAUUGAAUGAGCCGAUGUCGGAUUAGCUAGUUGGCGGGGUAAAGGCCCACCAAGGCGACGAUCCGUAGCUGGUCUGAGAGAAUGAUCGGCAAAACUGGAACUGGAACACGGUCCAGACUCCAAGGGGAGGCAGAGGGGGGAAAAAUGGGACAAGGGGGGAAGGCCGGACCAAGCCAAACGCGUGGGUGAAGAAGGCCUUCGGGUUGUAAAGCCCUUUUGUUGGGAAAGAAAAGCAGCAGGUUAAUACCCCGCUGUUCUGACGGUACCCAAAGAAUAAGCACCGGCUAACUUCGUG